GAUCCUGGCUCAGGAUGAACGCUAGCGACAGGCUUAACACAUGCAAGUCGAACGGAGCACCCUUGACUGAGGUUUCGGCCAAAUGAUAGGAAUGCUUAGUGGCGGACUGGUGAGUAACGCGUGAGGAACCUGCCUUUCAGAGGGGGACAACAGUUGGAAACGACUGCUAAUACCGCAUGAUGCGUAACUGGGACAUCCCGGAUACGCCAAAGAUUUUAUCGCUGAAAGAUGGCCUCGCG
rnacentral:rRNA from 1 species